rnacentral:rRNA from 1 species
AUCUGCCUUCUAGAUGGGGACAACAUCCCGAAAGGGGUGCUAAUACCGAAUGUUGUAGUUGGUUCGCAUGGACUAGCUACUAAAGGUGGCCUCUGAAUAUGCUACCGCUAGAAGAUGAGCCUGCGUCUGAUUAGCUAGUUGGAGGGGUAACGGCCCACCAAGGCUUCGAUCAGUAGCCGGUCUGAGAGGAUGAACGGCCACACUGGGACUGAGACACGGCCCAGACUCCUACGGGAGGCAGCAGUGGGGAAUCUUCCGCAAUGGACGAAAGUCUGACGGAGCAACGCCGCGUGAGUGAAGAAGGUUUUCGGAUCGUAAAGCUCUUUCGUUAGGGACGAACGUGCUCUUUGUGAAUAAUGAGGAGUAAUGACGGUACCUAAAUAAGAAGCCACGGCUAACUACGUGCCAGCA